UUGCCAAUCAAAGGAGAUCUUAUCGAGGCUAAAGGUGUUCACGAGCUAUUUUGUUCAUUGGUCAAAAGACAAGUAUGGGCAAUGCUUUUUUUUGUUCUUCUUUACCUCUUUUUGCAUUGCUUCUAACAAACUUUGUUGUCUAUAUCACAAGUUAGACAUGGAACUGCAGCGUCCCUACAACCUAUAUGUGCAAUAAUUGUUUCUAUAUUUGAUAUAAAUAUUUGAGUAUUCUAUUAUAUCCAUGCCCUGUGAGCUGAGGGGGCUACCCUAUUGAUUACCAGCACUCAUGGUCGGGUGAAUAGUCGUAGACAGUGUGCUUUCACACAAAUAAGUUCCACUCUAUCCUUAUCCAGGACAUUGGAUUCUUAUAGCUUGGAAUUAUUGUUAAAGUGGAAUUUGUUCUUCGUUCUCAAGUGAGAGGGUUUGAGUAAAAAAUAAAAACGAGUACUUUUGCAGGUUGGGUUGGAAUUCUCAGCACAUUCUCUAUUGGGGUGAAAUAUUGAAUAUACAAGAGAUGAAUAUGACAUGGUAACAUUAUAUUGGUUUUGUUAUUUGUCUAACUAAUGCUAUUUUUUUUGUUUGACUUUGGAAGUCAAACCUAUUAAAUUUGCAAAUAUAUCACUUACAUAAAUUUGCAAACUAAUUAAUAAAAACCCUUAAAGCCAGAGAAACUGAUUUAUGGUUAUUCACUUACUCAUAUAGGUUACACUGCUAAAAUAUGCAUUUAUAAUAGUAACUUUGACCCACAGUUGACAUUUUUUUUGAAGUGGCACCUUGAAACUGGUUAACCAUCAUUAAGUGAAUCGAAGUUUUUGGAACUUGGGUCUUUUUCCUAGAAAGCGUGGGGCAUGUGAAAAUAGAAUUAUAUCUAACUUGGAAACCUUUUUACACAACUUGGCCUUCCAAGAGCACUAUGUGUCGACCUUAUGACGAUGACGAUUUAUUUUUUUUUACUGUUUUAGGUUGGAGAUACGAAUGGAGUAAAAGUCUUGCGGCAUGAUCUGUUUACAAAUGAUGCUAUACUUUAGCUUUAGUUUCAACAAUUUAAAAUGGUAAUUUGUUUAGUAAUAGUGAUAUUAUCGUUGCAGAUGUGCUUUGUGUUGGCAUCACAUAAUAAACAUGGCCUAGAAGGGUACAAUCGAAGGGCAAUCUCAUGCCUGUUGGACACCUUAUGAUAAGUAUAACAUUGUAGGGUUUGUAAGCAAAUUUUCAAAGUGUGCUUGGCGGUAGUUAAAGACGGAAGAGAAUAUUAGAGGAAAAGUCAACGACAUGAAGAAAAGAAAGAUAUUAGCUUUGUUCGAGAAUUUAGUGAAAAUGGUGUAGAUGAA